UGCUUAGCCCUGACAUUGAUCGUUUAUUACACCAAACAUCCGCCUGGGAAUUACGAACACCAGUUUAAAACCCAAAGGACUUGGCGGUGCUUAACAUCCACCUAGAGGAGCCUGUUCUAGAACCGAUAACCCCCGUUUAACCUCACCCUCUCUUGUUUUUCCCGCCUAUAUACCACCGUCGUCAGCUUACCCUGUGAAGGACGAAUAGUAAGCACAAUUGGCACAGCCCAAUACGUCAGGUCGAGGUGUAGUGCAUGAGAGGGGAAGAAAUGGGCUACAUUCGCUAACAACUAGCGAAUACGAAUGAUGUGUUGAAAUACACAGCUGAAGGAGGAUUUAGCAGUAAGCAAGAAGCAGAGUGUCUUGCUGAAACCGGCUCUAAAGCGCGCACACACCGCCCGUCACCCUCCCCGAGCUCCCCGGACCAUUUUUAACUAAAGCCCUACAACUGCAAAGGAGAGGAAAGUCGUAACAUGGUAAGUGUACUGGAA
rnacentral:rRNA from 1 species